UGUUUCCAUCUCCAGCCAAUCCCAGGGAAGGCAGGAGGGCACUCCUCCAAUGGGAGCCCGAGAGCGGUCAGUAGCUGUGGAGGCCUGCUAACCCGCUAGCUCUCCAGCCGGCUGGAGGGACGCGUCCAGUGCGUUCACUAGGUCCAGCCGCCGGCCCCUCGAAUCUGCUCGCGCUCGGCAGCGGCGGCGCGGAGGGCAGGAGGUGUCUGGUCAGCGGGUUGCGGAGGAUCGUGCGGGUAGCAAAGGGAGGGCGAGUGCCCCUGCAGCCCCAGACAACAACCAGGUGAGUACCCUGCGGAGCCCAUCACCCAUGCCCACCCCUGUCUCUUGGGAAACGGUUCUGUGCAGGUCUGCAGCUCACGUGAUCGUCUGCGUGCCUGUAAAUCUCCAUCUCUCUGCCGCUCUUCUCCCUCUCCUUCUCCAUCUUUCCGUGUGUCUCAAUAUAUCUGCCUGUCUCCUUCUCUGAGACAUACUAGACAGCCCAGACCUAGAAGGCUGAACCCUGACGCUACCAGUUAAAACUAGCCAUGAGACCUUGAGCCAUCUACAUCACUUAUGCCUCAGUUUCUU
rnacentral:lncRNA from 1 species